CCUACGGGGGACAGCAGUGAGGAAUAUUGGUCAAUGGGCGGAAGCCUGAACCAGCCAAGUAGCGUGCAGGAUGACGGCCCUACGGGUUGUAAACUGCUUUUAUACGGGAAUAACGCGCCUUACGUGUAGGGCUUUGCAUGUACCGUAUGAAUAAGGACCGGCUCAUUCCGUGCCAGCAGCCGCGGUAAUACGGAAGGUCCGGGCGUUAUCCGGAUUUAUUGGGUUUAAAGGGAGCGUAGGCCGCAUGUCAAGCGUGCUGUGAAAUGUCCGGGCUCAACCCGGGCCUUGCAGCGCGAACUGGCGUGCUUGAGUCCGCGGAAAGCAGGCGGAAUUCGUCGUGUAGCGGUGAAAUGCUUAGAUAUGACGAAGAACCCCGAUUGCGAAGGCAGCCUGCUGCAGCGGAACUGACGCUGAUGCUCGAAAGCGCGGGUAUCGAACAGGAUUAGAUACCCCUGUAGUC
rnacentral:rRNA from 1 species